CCUACGGGUGGCAGCAGUGGGGAAUAUUGGGCAAUGGAGGAAACUCUGACCCAGCAACGCCGCGUGAAGGAUGAAGGUUUUCGGAUUGUAAACUUCUUUCUCGAGGGAUGAAGAAUGACGGUACCUCGUAAGAAAGCCCCUGCAAACUACGUGCAAGUAGCCUCGGUAAUACGUAGGGGGCGAGCGUUUUCCGGAAGGACUGGGGGUAAAGGGAGUGUAGGCGGCAUAUUAAGUUAUGUGUGAACGCCCGCGGCUCAACCGCGGAAUUGCACAUAAAACUGGUGAGUUGGAGUGCAGGAGAGGUAAGUGGAAUUCCGGGUGUAGCGGUGGAAUGCGUAGAUAUCGGGCGGAACACCAGAGGCGAAGGCGACUUACUGGACUGUAACUGACGCUGAGGCUCGAAAGCGUGGGGAGCGAACAGGAUUAGAUACCCUUGUAGUC
rnacentral:rRNA from 1 species